UAAUACGGAGGGUGCGAGCGUUAUCCGGAAUCACUGGGUUUAAAGGGUGCGUAGGCGGUCUAUUAAGUCAGUAGUGAAAGACUGUCGCUUAACGACGGAUGUGCUAAUGAUACUGGUAGACUUGAAAGAGGUUAAGGUUGUCGGAAUGAGUCAUGUAGCGGUGAAAUGCAUAGAUAUGACUUGGAACACCGAUAGCGAAGGCAGGCAACUGAGCCUUAUUUGACGCUGAGGCACGAAAGUGUGGGUAGCGAACAGG
rnacentral:rRNA from 1 species